CUCGCGUCGCAAAACGCACACGUAACGUCAACACUUUUGAGAAAGAAAGAUUGAUCUCUCUCCUCUCUCUAGCUUUCGAACUUUCCUCUUCAUCUCCUAAAAAUCAGUGCCUUUCUUCGUCAUCUUCGUUUCUUUACUGCUACUUUUCCUUCUUCUACGGUUUUGUAAUAGUAAUGGAUUGGGGAAAUGUAACGGCAGAAGAUCUGAUCGAUGCGCUUCGAGAAGUUGACUGGUCAUCUCCACCUCGACCUCUCUCUGAGUUCUUCUCUAGAUUUACUCUCCCUAAAUCCUCCUCCAAAUGGAACAGCCGCCUCAAAUGUAAUCUCUACUAUUACAGGACGAAUUACUUCAUUAUGAUGAUUCUCAUUAUGGGACUGGGAUUCCUUAGGAGGCCACUUGCUAUUGUCGCUGCUCUUUUAACAGCACUUUCCAUUGCAUUUAUGAAUGAUAGCUUUGCAGGUACUUUUAGCGAGAAGGUAAUGAGAACUGUGAGGCAAUUCUCUCCACAUUUAGCGGCAAAAAUGAGACCUCCUCUGACACCUGGUAUUCGUGGACGACCAUCAGCGAAAAGAGCAAUUUACAUAUGUGGUCGGCCUCGCUGGUUCUUUGUCAUGAUAUUUUCUUUUGUGAGUUUCACCCUUUGGUAUGUCUCCUGUGGUCUCUUGACUGUUCUAUGGGCACUUGCCAUUGGACUUCUCGCCACCAUCCUACAUGCAAGUUUCCGAACACCUAACCUGAAAGCUCGUCUGAACACAUUUCGUGAGGAGUUUCGUGCAGUUUGGCGCAAUUACAGUGAGCUGUAGCUUGUGGCCUGUAAGUAAACCUGUGUUGGUUCAUAUCUUUGAAUCUGGGGCGUUUAUUUUCUUUGCAUGUGGAUUAUUUCUUCAUUUCGGGGCUUACAUAGCUUACUUUAUUCUGGGGUUUUAGCUGUUUCUGUUGCUACAGAGCAAUUUUCUCUGACUGGACUGGAAAUUCUCAGGCUAAGGCUGCUAAUGUUUACAUAUCUCCAAUAUGUCAUGUAAAUUGUCAGGACUUCUUUCUGUAAAGUGAACAGUCCAUAUUAGAAGAAACCUAGAAAGAAAGGGAAAAAGGUUGGCAUUUAGAAUUCUUGGAUGAAGUCUUAAUGCCCAACUUGAUUUCAAGGGUUCUAUGUUGUUAUGAAAUGUGUCUGAAGUAGUUUCUAUCGAAAUGAGUUGUUAUCUA